AGGUGCCUGUGUUCCGGCUACCACAUCCAAGGAAGGUAGCAGGCGCGCAAAUUACCCACUCCCGACUCGGGGAGGUAGUGACGAAAAAUAACAAUACAGGACUCUUUCGAGGCCCUGUAAUUGAAAUGAGUACACUUUAAAUCCUUUAACGAGGAUCUAUUGGAGGGCAAGUCUGGUGUCAGCAGCCACGGUAAUUCCAGCUCCAAUAGCGUAUAUUAAAGUUGCUGCAGUUAAAAAGCUCAUAGUUGGAUCUUGA